rnacentral:lncRNA from 1 species
ACUCCACCAGAGAUGAGCCUGAGAUUGCUGUCUGCGAGCAGAGAGGGGGGGUGUGGGGGAGACCAUAAUGCCUCCGUGGUGUCUCUCCUCUCCUGGCCAUUUUUUAAGAAUACGAAGCCGUGAAUACACAUGUGGCUAUCAGGAGAGGUUAUUUCAGAGCAGCUUUCUCUAUCCUGGGGGACUCAUGCAUGAGAGGCCAAGGUGUGGAAGGGUCAAGGACAAGGCGGCUGUGAAAAAAUGCCAGACAAGUGUGACGCUGAGAAGCAGCAAAGCUUCUUGGGUAACAGAAGGGGACGGACGGAUGGAGGGAUGGAUCACAGAGGGGUUAAGAUGGGACAUGGAGAAGGAAUCUGAAACAGUGACCUUGCUGUCGAACAGUGAAGGAAAUGGGGUACAUCUUGUCACGCGGUGAGGAGGCCAUUGGAAGUCUACUUUGUUGGCUUUUGAAAGGGCCACGAUGGGUGCGGAGAUAAGCACAACACAGUGGGAGGAGAGGAGUCCUUACCUCGGGAAAAUGAAAAGGCCCGUCUGAUGGAAAUGUGAUGGCGAGAGCGCUAAGGACACCACACAAAUUAUUUUUUAUCAGAGAUCAGCUUCACAGAGGGUGCAGGUGGGGAGGUACCCCAUAGAACUCCUCCCCGAUUGACAGUCACGGAAUUGUUC